rnacentral:rRNA from 1 species
UACGGGGGGGGCAAGCGUUGUUCGGAAUUACUGGGCGUAAAGGGCUCGUAGGCGGCCAACUAAGUCAGACGUGAAAUCCCCAGGCUCAACCUGGGAACUGCGUCGGAUACUGGAUGGCUUGAAUCCGGGAGAGGGAUGCGGAAUUCCAGGUGUAGCGGUGAAAUGCGUAGAUAUCUGGAGGAACACCGAUGGCGAAGGCAGCACUCUGGGCCGGCACUGACGCUGAGGAGCGAAAGCGUGGGGAGCGAACAGG